rnacentral:rRNA from 1 species
UGACUGCGUACCUUUUGUAUAAUGGGUCAGCGACUUACAUUCAGUGGCAAGCUUAACCGAAUAGGGAAGGCGUAGGGAAACCGAGUCCGAAUAGGGCGAUUCAGUCGCUGGGUGUAGACCCGAAACCAAGUGAUCUAUCCAUGGCCAGGAUGAAGGUGCCGUAACAGGUACUGGAGGUCCGAACCGACUAAUGUUGCAAAAUUAGCGGAUGAGCUGUGGAUAGGGGUGAAAGGCUAAACAAACUUGGAGAUAGCUGGUUCUCUCCGAAAACUAUUUAGGUAGUGCCUCAAGUAUUACCGUCGGGGGUAGAGCACUGUUAUGGCUAGGGGGUCAUGGCGACUUACCAAACCAUUGCAAACUCCGAAUACCGACGAGUACAGCUUGGGAGACAGUGCACCGGGUGCUAACGUCCGGACACGAGAGGGAAACAACCCAGACCGCCAGCUAAGGUCCCAAAUUAUAGCUAA